ACAGAAUUAGCAGAAUACGUCAGCUGCUGAAGAUGAGUUUCCGGCCAUCUGAAGGGAAACUGGAUAUUCCACCAGAGAACCGCAAUGUCCACUAUUAACAGCAAUAACUUGCAACUGACUUAAGCGACUGGCAGGUGUUUCGGUGAGAGGCAUUCCCUUGGCAGCCACUGCAGGUGUUUCGGUGAGAGGCUUUCCCUUGGCAGCCACUGCAGGUGUUUCGGUGAGAGGCAUUCCCUUGGCAGCCACUCCCUUCAGCCGGUAUCGCUCUGCCCUAGAUCCAAUAACCUGUCCUAAUAUAGAUGCUCCAAUGGUAAAUGCCAUGGCUGACUUUGGCAUCAAUAUGGAUUUCCUAAGCAUGCCU
rnacentral:lncRNA from 1 species